CUUAACUUAGGACUUGCUCAUCUAGCAAAGCACUGGGAGAAGUGUGAGUCUUUCCAUAGCCAUGUCUGGUUUGUGAAACACCUCCUGUACCUGCAGUGGUAACAAGCAAUAUGACUAAUAUUAGUGUAGAAAGAUGGAAGAACCUGGAAGAGAGGACAGACAAGAAUACCAGCCUUUUGGAAAAAGUCCUUCAUUGUCUCCAUCGUCGAUGUCCUGUGACAUGAGAGCAACUGAUGUGAGCAUGCUCUCAUGACUUGGGAGUACCACCAAGCACCCAGAGAGCAAGAGGGGGGCUGUAGAAAUUUGCUAAAGAGGCGCCAUCAAAGUGAAAACACCAUCAUUCAUUUCCAGUCAAAAGAAAACCAGUGCUGUCCAUGGCCCCUCAAGGGCAGGCAGGGGUUCUGCAGCUGGCUGCUGCUGCUCAAGGUGGGGUACCCACUGCUGGCCAGUGCAAGCUUCUCUCCGCUGUGCAUUCCACACAGACCCUUCACAUCCUCUGUGCUGAGCAUCAGGUAAGAAUAUUUUGAUCCCAUCUCAUGCCCUUGCUCCCUGUUCGCUUGCAUCUCAUACACUUAGGUUACAGGGACACCACCAUCAUCCCACCCAGUCAUGUGCUGGGUCCUGCUGGGG
rnacentral:lncRNA from 1 species